AUGGUAAACCGUUAAAAUUUAUAUUUAGGGAAAAUUAGGUGGUGCAAAUGGCUUUGGGGCGAAAUUGGUAGCGCGUCUGACUCCAGAUCAGAAGGUUAUGUGUUCAAAUCAGGUCAAGGUCAUUGUAUUUUACUGAACAAAAAGCAAAUUUGGGUGGUGCAAGUAGCUUUGUGGCGCAAUUGGUAGCGUGUCUGACUCCAGAUCAGAAGGUUAUGUGUUCAAAUCACGUCAAGGUUAUUGUACUUUACUUA